UUUACUCGUGCGCCCAUCAGCUAUUGCUACAACAACAACCUCUAUACCUGGUUGUUCGCAGCAGGCAGUCAUGACAAGCACAUUUGAACAAGUGCAUCUGUCCAGGACCCGUCAUUAACACACGGGGUCGCUCUACCAAAAACGAAAAGAAACAAGAAACAAGAAAAUCUGGUUUUUAAAUGUUUUUUUAAAGAGUGUCCUGAUAUUUGUAAUAGCCUAUACUGUUGCAACUGAUACUUUUGUGGUCUUGGUGGGCCAGGCUGCACAAUCCAUUGUUUGUUCCAAGUAAAUUGCUGCAAUUUGUCCCUAAGGACUAUCUUACCAAACUUGGGGUUCGUACAAGAUCAUGACUGAUCAAAAAGGGAGGACUGGUUGAGAUGGGAACACGAACUUCGCACUCAACGACUAUCAUUUCUGGUCUACUCAUUCAAGUGAGUGGAUCAUGCGAUUUUUUGCACGUUGUGAAGGACGCCGAUCAUUUAACGAGGACAGCCGUUAUAAAGAAGAGCUGGGCGGCGAGGAAGUACUGCUGCUGCUGCCUGCCUGCCAAAAGUUCCCCGAUGGAAUUAUACAACGGUGCAGGUCCCCUCAAACUCAUCCCGUCGAUGGCAGCGCUUUUUGCGAUCUCCUUAUCCGAGCGGCUCAGCGACUGCGAUUCGCCAGUGAGUCUGCACAAGGAUCCGCCACUGAUCUCUGUGUCAAGUUAUGGCAGGCCCCCAAUGUUCUGAUUACCACCGAAGGGAACGCAACAGUUGACAUAGCUGGGAUAAUAUCAUAUUCUUGAGACAAUUUUAAAAUAGAGCGCUCAUUAUUUAAUAGUGGUUCACUGAUGGCAAUUGAGUGGCCUUUCUGUGUGUCUUGAUUUUUUUUUUUUUUCUGCGAAUGCUUAAACACUAAUGAAGUAGAAAGACUCUCCCUUCUCCAAGAAUGUGGAUUGAACCCAUUCACCCCUCUAAAAAAAACGUCUGCAAAAUUUGUAGUUAAAACCCUCAUAAAUUGCACACACACACACAAAAAAAAAUAAACGAUGGCAUGCGCACUCAAUGUGAGUGAAUCCUCUCCGGCACCCAGCCCCCCCCCCACCCCCCCCCCACCCCACCUCUUUCUUAAUUUAAUCUUCUCAACUGUUGGAUUGUCGACAGCUGAGUCUAGUAACUUCCAGCUGCCUGGAGCUGGGACCUGAUGCAGCAGCCCUGGCCCUGUCUCUGCUCUCUAAGCACCGAGCGCUUGGGUCCUGGCAACCCUCCGCAGGCCGCGCGCGGAGCAGGGCUAGCAGCGGAACAGGGCUAGCAGCGGAGCAGGGCUAGCCGCGGAACAGGGCUAGCAGCAGAACAGGGCUAGCAGCCGAGCAGGGCUAGCCGCGGAACAGGGCUAGCAGCGGAGCAGGGCUAGCACCGGAGCAGGGCUAGCAGCGGAACAGGGCUAGCAGCGGAGCAGGGCUAGCAGCGGAGCAGGGCUAGCAGCGGAGCAGAGCUAGCAGCCGAGCAGGGCUAGCAGCCGAGCAGAUCUAGCAGUGGUGCGGGGCUAGCAGCCGAGCAGGGCUAGCAGCGGAGCAGAGCUAGCAGCCGAGCAGGGCUAGCAGCGGAGCAGAGCUAGCAGCCGAGCAGGGCUAGCGGCGGAACAAAGCUCCUGAUAUGGUGGGAUACUGCUUUUUUUUAGGCCGUGGAAGAAGUUUGAGAAAGGCAGCAAGAUAAGUAAGGGGCUUUUAGGGGCAGCUGUGUUUCAUUAACUCAGUCAUAAUGCCCCUAAAAAUCCUUACUGCUCUUGCAAUGGUCAACAGAUUUCCACGAGUGGCCCGUUUCCGACCCCUCACACGUUUACCGCGAUUCCACGGAACUGACUCGCUGUGCGACGGUUUCAUACGCCUAUUUUUUGUAUGGUUUACAAUAAUUAUGUUUAAUAUUUCUUAAACUUUUUUGUUGUUGUGUUAGAACCACUGGCUAUUGUGCAUGUAUGCAGAUAACAAACAUAAUAUGGUGUAUGUAUUUUUUUGUUUUUCUGCAUGUUUUUUGAAGUAUGACAUGUAUCUGACUUGUAUCUGGGACUAAAAUAAAUAAAGUAAUAUGAUUGCA